ACACUUUACUUAAUAUAUAAUUAAUAUAUAUAUACAUAAUUAACUGAAGCAAAAUUUCCUUCCACUAAAUUUUUCGAUAACCUUUUAUUUUCUUCCUAUGCUCUAAAUACGAUUCAGUUGUUAUCGAUACCCAAAAAGUGGUGACACCAAAGCAGAAACAGAUGAAAAUGAAACAAAUAAAGUUUGUAAACAAAAAACGUAAAAAAAAAAUUACUAACUUUGUACGUCAUUUAUUUUUGGCAUUUAUCAGUUUACGACUUAUCAAAUAAUAUCUUGCACUAAAAAAACAGUGACAAAGAAUAACAAAGGAGAACUACGAAUUAAAGCAACAAAGAUUUGUAAACAAACCGAUACAUUCGAUGUACAGUGGAAGCCGCUGAACAAAAUUGUAAAAAUUUGGGAUUCAAUUUCGUGGAAUUGUUUAAAUAAGUAUGCAUUUAUAAGUAAAAUUACUGUUACUCCUUAGUAACAGUAAUUUACAGACUACGGAAGCAAUUGGAAAUACUAGAAUAGUAGUGGCAGGUAGAGAUAUCUACAAAAAUAAUUUUUAACACCAGCUGUUUUUGCGAACAGGCAGCAAAAAAAAUCAGAACAAAAAUGGAUGACACAUGCAAUUAAAAAUCUGCUUUAAAUGUUGUAUAAAUAACAUUUUCCAUAAUUAAUUCUCUGUAAACAUGAACUAAGUAAAAUUUUAUUUAUUUA